GGCUUGACAAAGCCCUGGCUGGGAUGAUUUAAUUGGGGAUUGGUCCUGCUUUGAGCAGGGGGUUGGACUAGAUGACCUCCUGAGGUCCCUUCCAACCCUGAUAUUCUAUGAUUCUUAUCACAGUCACAGUUCUGCCAAGCUGCUCCAACUGUUCCCUCCACUGUUCAUGUAAAGCUACAGCUGACACAGUGCGCAUAGCUGAAGUGCAUGGAGAUAAGUGGUGGAAUUCAAAUCUGUCGAACACAACACAAACAGGGCAUGUUCUCUGAUCAGUACAUUUUAAGGCCAGGAGAUACUAUUAGGUCAUCUAGUCUGACCUUCUGUUAAUACAAGCUAUACGGUUUCAUCCAGUUACCAUUGAAAUGAGCUGAAUACCUUGUGUUUUGAUGAAAAUAUCUUCCAGAAAGGCAUCCAAUGUUGCGAUGAAGACUUCAAGAGAUGGAAAAUUUACCACUUCCCUGGUUAUCCAGUUCCCAAACCUGA